CUGACAAGUGAGGCAGAAAUUACCCACUGCCCAGCAAAAACCAGUGGGGCCAGCCAGUGGUCUCUGCCCUGGCAGCCCAGUUUCCCCAGUCUCAUCUCAAAAUGACCAGUUACACUGAAGCAAAGAGCACUGGAACCAGUGCAACAAGCCCCAGUCUGACUUUGACACCUGCCCACGUGUCCUGUUUUCUGCUGCUCUACAGACUUCCUUGUUUAAAAUACAAUGGAAAAACAAACAGUUUUUGGGGUUGUUUUGGUUUUGGGCUUGGGGUUUUUUUUCCCCCCACUGUUCUCAUUAACCUCAUUUCAAAUCUAUUUCGGUGUUUGAAGAUGAAUUAAAAUUUUGAAUGAUUUUUAAUAGCACAUGUAAGGGGGGUACUUUUGAAUUAGAUGAUCAAUGGAGCAUAGAGGCGUGAGAAAGGAAUCAUAUUAGGAUGUGAAACCAGCUGAGUAUGGUACAAUGUAACUUCAUGGCACAAGCGAAUUGUAAGGUCCAUUGUGCUUUUUAGCAAGUCAGCUUGAUAUCCCCUAUUAUCAGAGCUGAGUUCUUCCUUGGUUUUGCUACAUAUUGCAAGAUAGAUACAUCUACCCUUGAAACACAAUGGUAGAGGUCAUACAUAGGGGUGAGAAAGAUGAUGAUGGGAGGAAGAUUCUGUGGGCAGGGGUCGCUGGCCCCUUGCCCUACAGCAGGGCACGCACAGACUGUUGCUAUCAGGUGAUGAUCAGGCGGGGUUUGGCUGCCACUCAGGCAUCACCUUAUACUGGGUACUGGCCCUACGUGGUGCAAUGUAGAGCUGAUAAAAUGGGGUGUCGGGACUGCUGGGGUGAGCGAUCCUCAUCCUGCCAUGGAGACUGUGUUGUUCCACCGGGACGCCCGCUAAGCACGGGCACCGACCAGCUGCUGCAGAUCCUGGCAGCCCUGGCCUGUCUGUGUGGGUAAGCACAGUUUAUUGAGAGGAAGCAACUGAGAGAACAAACUUUUUAAUAUCCUUUUAGUGUUCCUUUAAUUCCCCUUUUAUGUUUAUGGUAUUUUUCCUUUAGUUUCCCUUUUUACUAACCAAUAUUGUGUUAUCCAUAAUAUUGUGUUAAGAUCCUUUUUUGGUAUCCCUUUUCACUAGUUAAUACUGUAUUAAAUGCUGUUCGUAGUAUUUGUUUUAAUGCCACCCGAUAAGGUAGUUAUUUUGUAUCCUUUUUAGUUUUUAAUUCCUCUUGCUAAGUUUAUUACUAUUAUUAUUAUUCUCACUGUAAUAAAAGAUAUUUUGUGCGUUUGAAUAUUU